AGCUUCCCAAAUCCUUGCUAAAAUUUCAUCAGAUGCAAACUCACAAGGGCUGAUGAGACUUUCAAAAUUCGAAGCG
rfam:Schistosoma mattheei strain Denwood, Zambia genome assembly, scaffold: SMTD_scaffold0008003